GAGGGUAUAGCUCAGUGGUAGAGCAUCUGCUUAGCAUGCACAAGGUCCUGGGUCCAAUCCCCAGUAACUCCA
rnacentral:tRNA from 1 species